rnacentral:rRNA from 1 species
CCUACGGGCGGCAGCAGUGAGGAAUAUUGGUCAAUGGGCGCAAGCCUGAACCAGCCAUGCCGCGUGCAGGAUGACGGCUCUAUGAGUUGUAAACUGCUUUUAUACAGGAGUAAAUUCCGGUACGUGUACCUUUUUGAAAGUAUUUUACGAAUAAGGAUCGGCUAACUCCGUGCCAGCAGCCGCGGUAAUACGGAGGAUCCGAGCGUUAUCCGGAUUUAGUGGGUUUAAAGGGUGCGUAGUCGGGUUGUGAAGUUAGAUGUGAAAUCUUGGGGCUCAACCGUAGAACUGCAUUUGAUACUGGCAGUCUAGAGUAUAGUUGAGGUAGGUGGAAUUCAUGGUGUAGCGGUGAAAUGCAUAGAGAUCAUGAAGAACACCGAUUGCGAAGGCAGCUUACUAAACUACGACUGACGUUGAUGCACGAAAGCGUGGGGAGCAAACAGGAUUAGAUACCCUAGUAGUC